CGAAUGAGGAGAUUCNUCGUCAGCUCAUUUUAUAUAUAUGCAAGUUAUGAUAUGGGUUACUGCUUUACUGUAGUAUUGCCUGUACAUUCUUGUAUAUUUAGAUGUAAGAUGUUGUCGGCGUGCACUUCUCCUCUAGUAGGACAUCGCGACCCGUUGAGUUUAUUGGUCUACGGCCCAAGUGGUAGAUUUUAAUGAAUCCAUUUAUUUGUAUUCAUUGAAAACCCUUGGUGUUUUUUUCUGACUGGUACUCGUCGGUAUUCGUAUGGUAUUGAGCCGCAUUAAUAAAUAUAUGCGUCCAUAUCUGUCACAAGCGAGAUUAAUUACUGAUAGUACGGACCCAGUGCCGUCGUUGGUAUUAAUCAGCUGUUGGUUGUACAGAAUUCUAGGACUGGCUUAUUUUUCAAAAAAAAA
rnacentral:rRNA from 1 species